UACGUAGGGUCCAAGCGUUAAUUGGAAUUACUGGGCGUAAAGCGUGCGCAGGCGGUUUUAUAAGCCAGAUGUGAAAUCCCCGGGCUUAACCUGGGAAUGGCAUUUGGGACUGCAAGGCUUGAGUGCGGCAGAGGAGACUGGAAUUCCCGGUGUAGCAGUGAAAUGCGUAGAUAUCGGGAGGAAUACCGGUGGCGAAGGCGGCGACCUGGGUCGAGACUGACGCUGAGGCGCGAAAGCGUGGGGAGCAAACAGG
rnacentral:rRNA from 1 species